rnacentral:rRNA from 1 species
AGUGAACGCUGGCGGUAGGCCUAACACAUGCCAGUCGAACGGCAGCACAGUAAGAGCUUGCUCUUACGGGUGGCGAGUGGCGGACGGGUGAGGAAUACAUCGGAAUCUACUUUUUCGUGGGGGAUAACGUAGGGAAACUUACGCUAAUACCGCAUACGACCUACGGGUGAAAGCAGGGGAUCUUCGGACCUUGCGCGAUUGAAUGAGCCGAUGUCGGAUUAGCUAGUUGGCGGGGUAAAGGCCCACCAAGGCGACGAUCCGUAGCUGGUCUGAGAGGAUGAUCAGCCACACUGGAACUGAGACACGGUCCAGACUCCUACGGUAGGCAGCAGUGGGGAAUAUUGGACAAUGGGCGCAAGCCUGAUCCAGCCAUACCGCGUGGGUGAAGAAGGCCUUCGGGUUGUAAAGCCCUUUUGUUGGGAAAGAAAAGCAGCAGGUUAAUACCCCGCUGUUCUGACGGUACCCAAAGAAUAAGCACCGGCUAACUUCGUG